ACUUUCGUCAAAUAACAAGUCGUUUACCGCCAGAACUGUGAAUGAUUAGGUGGCGACACGUUGUCAUCAACACUAAUCGAAAAAGUUCCUCAUUCUUUUCGCAACGCACACGCACUAAAAGGCAUUGUUCUGGGCUGGUGAACUCCUUGAUACUUAUCCACUACAAGAUUGGAUCAGCUUGCAUGUUGACUUUGAAAAGGCACAUUGAUAUAAAAG